GGCUCCAUAGUGUAAUGGUUAGCAUGUCUGCUUUACACACAGAAGGUCCUGGGUUCAAACUCUGGGUGCGCCA
rnacentral:tRNA from 1 species